rnacentral:sRNA from 1 species
UCCCGGGCUGGGCCGACCCGAAUUAGCAUGCUCGCCCAGGAGCCUAGCGGAGCAGGGCCGCGUGGGGGUGGGGCUGGCGGCGGGGGCUGGGGACCCAGGCUGCGGGCGAGCGGCGAACUUCCCAACUCCCGCGCUGCGUUCUGGCCCGCGAGGGGGAGGGAGUCCCGUGGCGGGACGGGGUGGGGGAGGGCUCCCCGUUUCGUGAGUGUUCCUUCAUUUCUUUAAGAGCUACCAGAAAGCAGCCCACCCCCACUCUCAUAAAAAAAAAAAAGCGAGUGGGGAAGAGCCAGCCCCACGCCGGUCCGCCUCCCGCCCGCUGCCGGGCCUCCCUCCCGCCUGCCCGCCGCCUGGCUCGGAGAUCCUUCGCCCAGAGUUCUCCAUUCUCAGGAUCCCGGGCUCGCGGGGGUGCGGAGAAGAGGACCCAGGAAAGCCGAUUCACUGCAAGUGGCCUCGAUUUGAUGUGCCUAACUUUGGGAAUCAUCGUGUAGACUUUGACUCUGAUCUCAGCCCUGACGCUGGAUGGCUGUGUGAUUCUAGGUGAGCUGGUGUGUCUCUGAGCCUCGUCGAUUUCGGUCAAAGAGAAGUCUUGAUUAACAUGGGCAGAAAGGAUGCCAACGGUGACUUUCAUCACUCCUGUUUGAUUCCUGUCUUCUUCACCCUUCAGAGCCAGCAAGAGUUUGCUGGCUUGGAUGUUCCUGGGUGGCGGAGUCCAUAGUCUGAGGGCAAGGAGGUCUUGGAAGCAGUUUUCCUGGGUAGAACCUAGUUUUCAGCUGAGACUCCCACCCUCAACACACAUCAAGCUGAAGAUGAGCCCUCUGCCUUUUUUCUAAUACGGAGUUGGAUGUCCCCAGACCAGUAAGAACUUACAUUUGGAAUUCUUUAGACGUUUAUAAAGUCCUGCUGGCUCUGAGAGUUAUAUAUUAAUCUGAUAUAAUAUUCCGUGGGAACUGGCCAGAGACACAUGGUAGGAGCACUUCUGCUGUUGUACUUUUGUACAUUGGUUUUGUUUGGACUGGUAAAUUUUCUCCCAUCUUUAUAGGCCUGCCUUCCUCUCUUCCUCGUUUCAAUGUGUGUAGCACAAUAUGUCCGUGAGAGCCAUGUUGUUUAUUAUCUGUAGUUUUGCUUUUUCAUUCUUGUCAAGAUUUUGUAUCCCUGCCUAAAGCUUAGUGGGAUUUCUCUGCAGGUUUGGCCUGCCUGUGCUGCUUUCUUCCUGGCUAACCUGUGGUGGUUCAUGCUCCUCUCUGGCCUCCUUCAACGGCCCUACUAUGGUCAAGGUGACUUUGAUUCAAAGUUUUAAGCUUGCCCCAAGUUCCAAGAACAUUCUCCUCUUAAUGCCCCCAUGUUUCUCCCUGUCUGUUAACAUGGACCAAGUACCUGCUUUCUGGGCUGAUUUAUGGCUGUAUUAGGGAAAACUCUACCAGGGAUAUAAAACGCAGUGUCCCCACGCUUGGGCCUGAUCUUACACGUUAUCAGUGAUUGCAAGUGCAUUUUAUAACCCUGUGCCAAAUCGAAAUCAAGGUGAUUUGUGCUUCAAUCUCCCGGAUAAAAUCAGGGCAUGCUCUAUUGCAGUCUGACCUUCUUAGUACCUUUGCUGGUGCAACUUGACCAUGUGCCUUGGACAAUUAUUGGCGACAGCUGAGGAGUGACCCGAGCUGCUUAGCUGCUCAUCCUGGAGACUCCUCAGAGGUGACGGCUCCUGUGGGCUUUGUAGCAUCUCCAAGGAUCUUUCAAAGCAUCUUUGACCUCCCCAGCUUGUCUAAGAAGUGAACUCUUAGAGCAAGCUGACCGGAGCCCCAGAGAGGCUCUCUCUGCCUCGUACUUAACCCGAGAGCUCAGCUAACUGCAGGCCAGGGAAGCCGCUCAGCUUUUGAAUGAUCAGGGACAGGGAAUCACCGUGCUCUCACUACUGCUGUCAACUAUCAGUGCUACUUGCAGUUGUUACAGAACAAGGUCAGGACUUCCAGAAAAACCGGAGUCCCCUGUAAAGUUCCAGUCUGAACUGCACUUUUCCACAAUGCAGUACAAGUCUGUCAGGGUUAAAGCUUGAUGUCAAAUCUCCUUCAUGUGGCUGGUUGGAGGGGGUACUUUGGAUAAAUAUUUUAAGUUAAGGUUUUAUGACUAUAAUCUGAAUUUUUCAACUUAUAUUUAACCCAAGCUUCUUUUUAAAGCAAUUUCAUCUCUUUUGAUUUUAUACCCUUUCAUAGCCUAGGGAGGAGCUCAGAUGUCUCUUCAAGUGCCACAGCCUGCUUUGUGAAACCCUUUUAAGAUAUGCUAAUGGAUGGGGUGAUUAUUAAGAUAAAUGCCUUGUGUAGGAAACCGGACUUAAUUAUAAUAUCUAUAAUUAGUCACCGGUCAGCCUGGAAGUUAUAAUUUAUUGUUCCCUAAUUUGCCUUUAUUACCAAAGAUAUUUAACUUAAAGGGAUUAUUUUUAGGAAUAGCCUGAUUUGAAUGGUAAGCAUUUAGCAAAUGUCAAAACUAUUUUUUUUCAAACUUUUCUAAACUCAUAUAUAAUUUUAGGAUAUAGCACACAAGCAUGGAGAGGGGUGUUUGUACUUGUUGAUUAAGAGAAUGGAAACGCUACUUCAUAAGAAGAAAUGAUAAAGGUUGUUCCUUCCAGACCCUUAUUUUUAGAACACCAGGUAAACUUUUAUAUUAGGCAGGUUUGAGUUGGGGUGAUGGGAAUAUGCUGUUUGCAUGGCCGGUGAGGUGUCUCUCAUUUUUAAAAAAUUUAUAAUCUUUUUCUCUCAUCUAUCUGUCUGCCUAUCUAUCUAUCUAUAUCUACCUA